rnacentral:rRNA from 1 species
UACGAAGGGUGCAAACGUUGCUCGGAAUUAUUGGGCGUAAAGCGCACGCAGGCGGUUUCGUACGUCUGGAGUGACAGUUCCCGGCUCAACUGGGAAAGGUCUUCGGAAACGGCGAGACUUGAGGGCUUCAGAGGGACACGGAAUUCCGGGUGGAGUGGUGAAAUGCGUAGAGAUCCGGAGGAACACCAAUGGCGAAGGCAGUGUCCUGGGAAGCAUCUGACGCUCAGGUGCGAAAGCUAGGGGAGCGAACAGG